GGGGGAUACCUUACUUCAAAGCUUACAAAAUGGAGCUAAUAAGCCGGUCGUCGACCAAUACUCACAAAUACAGAUGAGUGUGUACGUCAAAAGGGCCUCUGAAAGAGUUAACUUAAAAGAGCCAGCCAUUCAUAUGAAUGCGGUCCGCUCUCGUCGAAGCCAUGUUUGGAACUACACGAGGCACCGUAACCCGGAAGUACCCGGAAGUAAAAUCGUAUAAUGGAUCUCUAUGGGAGUGUCGUAACCCUCUUUCUACGGCCCUGGAGGGGGGGAAGUGGACACCCCUCCCGACCCGCUGCUUCUCUCCUUAUUCAUCAUGGUAGAUGAACAAAAUGGCGGAGCACGCUCAGGCGACGCAGAAGACGAUUUCGAGGCGGUCUGGCCGACUUUUGAUGCCGCACAGAGAGUUUUAGACUCGGGUGGAGAGAGCUAGCUGUGGCGGCUAGCUUCAAACCGGCGUCGAGCACAGCGUUCAAGGUCUGCAAAGCCCUCCAGCCUGAUUUGUUUGCCGUGUCCUACAACCAGCCAGUGGGAAGCCAUAGAAGAUUUCUGGCG